GACAGAGGCCUCGAGCGUUAGGCGGAAUCACUGGGCUUAAAGAGUGUGUAGGCGGAAGCGUAAGUACGUUGUGAAAUCCCACGGCUCAACCGUGGAACUGCUGGGUAUACUGCGUUUCUUGAGCAAUCUAGGGGCGAGUGGAACGGAUGGUGGAGCGGUGAAAUGCAUAGAUAUCAUCCGGAACGCCUGUGGUGAAGACGACUCGCUGGGGAUUUUCUGACGCUGAGACACGAAAGCCAGGGGAGCAAACGGG
rnacentral:rRNA from 1 species